rnacentral:rRNA from 1 species
UACAGAGGUCUCAAGCGUUGUUCGGAUUCAUUGGGCGUAAAGCGCGCGUAGGCGGCCAACUAAGUCAGACGUGAAAUCCCCAGGCUCAACCUGGGAACUGCGUCUGAUACUGGAUGGCUUGAAUUCGGGAGAGGGAUGCAGAAUUCCAGGUGUAGCGGUGAAAUGCGUAGAUAUCUGGAGGAAUACCGGUGGCGAAGGCGGCAUCCUGGACCGACAUUGACGCUGAUGAGCGAAAGCUAGGGGAGCAAACGGG